rnacentral:rRNA from 1 species
UAGGGAAUAUUAGUAAUGGGCGAAAGCCUGAACUAGCAACGCCGCGUGUGCGAAGAAGGCCUUCGGGUUGUAAAGCACUUUUUGAGAGGAUGAGGAAGGACGGUACUCUCAGAAUAAGUCUCGGCUAACUACGUGCCAGCAGCCGCGGUAACACGUAGGAGGCAAACGUUAUCCGGAUUUACUGGGCGUAAAGCGCGUGUAGGUGGUUUGGUAAGUAGGGCGUGAAAGCUCCUGGCUCAACUGGGAGAGGACGUUCUAAACUGCCAAGCUUGAGGAUGGUAGAGGGAGGUGGAAUUCCGGGUGUAGCGGUGGAAUGCGCAGAUAUCCGGAGGAACACCAGUGGCGAAGGCGGCCUCCUGGACCACUCCUGACACUCAGACGCGAAAGCUAGGGUAGCAA